CUUUGUCAAGCUAUGACAAAACUAUCCAAGGUUCAGCUCAGAUGGGAGCAGCCUCUCCCCUCCUGGCUGAGGCAGGAGCUGCAAAAGAUCAUAAAUGUGUCUGGAGAGCUGUGUUCCUUAUUCUACUGAAGAUUUAUAGUAUUCCUAUUCCUAAAACUUGAAUUUCAAGUGAAGAGAAGAUUUACUAGCAUUCUGCAAAUAAAGGAAAUCAGGACAGAAGACAACAGCACAAUAGCACAUUCUCAGCAAAACAUAAACCAUGUCACAGCAUAGCAGAGGAAGGCUUUGGUGGACUCAAAUGGAAGACCCCUGCUGCCUAAGGUUCUUCUGGCCUUGUUAUUUUUUAUCUAGUGGCUUUCCUACCUGAACUUUUGCAUGCUUACUAAAUCAGAAGGAUGGAGGAAAGAUGUUGUCCAAUGUAUUUGAAAUUUGUCUUGCAGGUUUUCUUCAGAGACUGAGCUCUGCUGAAAGAGAUCCUGAGCAGUGUCAAGCUGCAAUUAGCAACAGAGUAAAGCAGUUGUUUUUGUGGAUACUAAGCUGUCAUGGUUCCAGCCUGGUCCAGUCCAGUUCUGUGAGUAAUGGGGCAGAGGGACCCACAACCCAGGAAAGAGGGAAGGGGGAAGACAGGGAGAUGGGCCUUGUUGGAAAAAAAACAGCAGAAUGAGCUAAAGGAGAAAUCUAAUUUACUAUAUAUGAUAGCAGAAUGUGAGAUAAUAUAAUACAAUAUAAUUGGAAUUGAAGCAGAAAAAGAGAGCAGUCUUGUGACUCCCAAGCAGUUUUAUCUUUCUCUCUAAAUGAAAAACGGAAAAGGAAUAAUGAAGUCUUCUGGGAGCUGUAGUUCAUCUCUUCUCUUCUGAGACGGGCACCCAGAGCUAUUGGCAAUCCAUGGAACUGUAGCAUUAACUCUUUAUCUCCCGGUGCACUACAUGAUGUUAAGAUUUGGAAUAUUGAUAACAGAAAUCACAAAACCACAACAUAAGUAAUCUCUGGUCACCAUACUAGUACAAGUAAAAAGGAAGAACUAGGAAAGCUGAAAGAACAGGAGCAGUUAAAAUCCCCUACCAGUGGUACCUAUGAAGCAUGAGGAGCUUUGAGUAGGACAGUGAGGGCACUGGAGUUUCUGGGCUGAGUUUCAGAGAUCAAACCAAGCCACUAUACUGUGGACCCACUGUAGCUGCAGCUCCCUCCCAAGUACCCCACACAGAGUGUGAUCCACAGCUGAGCAUCUAAUAGUGCAUGGUAAGAGCUGCAGAAAAUGGGCUAUGUGUAUUAUUUCACUAACAACAUCAGUUUGAUUUACUCUUUAUAGAAGAGCACAAGAAGUAGAUCUCUAUCUUCACUGAAUCCAGUGGCAAAAUAUUCAUUGGCCUCAUUGUGAGCAGCAGCAGCUCCUUUUUCUUCAGACACUGAAUCAUGCUACAAGAACAUCGAGCAGCGCUGUAGCUGAUCUAUGCUGUGGAGAAAGUCAUUCCAAUUUCUGGGGCUCUAUAAAUGACAUGUGAAAUGGCUUCAAAGAGCAAAGACAACAAGCCACAGCUCAAAAAUAUAACCACCUGAUUUUUCAAGGUUCAUCAUGCCAACCAGCCAAUAUUUUCCAAAACUCUGCUAGUCAGCAGUGUGCCCAAAAAUGAUGCUUCUGCAUAAACAGAUGAAGUAUGCACUGAGGCCGUAUUAAGUAAGUCAUGUUACUGCCAGG